CCUGGCCUAGGCCGCUGCUCGUCGGCGUGCCGCUCGUGCCUAUUACCUUGACUAUGCGCACCUUUGUUGUUCCCUCGGCAGUCCGCUGCCGCCAGGGACCCCCUAAAACCUUAUGUAAUACAGUACACUUCUGAAAAAUUUUUUAAUUAUUUA
rnacentral:misc_RNA from 1 species